ensembl:processed_transcript
CUCAAACAAAUACAAAGGCCUAUGUGCUUGUGCGCACGUGAACGAACACACACACACACACACACACAGUUUUGACUGUCUUGAAGUCUGUUAAGUAGUGUCGGUCUGGUUGCUGGUCGUCUCUCUGUAACUCUGGCUGGUGCGUGUGUGUGUUUUCUCCAACAGAGGGAGACAAAAGUUUGCGGGAAACAGACACUGAAGCUGGUUGAGUGUUUCCCGUAAUGAAGAGGACUUCCUCUCUCUCUGAAAUUAGCAGGUGUUUUCUUCUGGACCUGGAAUUUCUUCCGGUUUCUAUCCAGUCCUGGAGAGGCCGGAGCUGUAAUUGGGAGAUCUUCUGUGGAGGCUGGUAAUUAUACGAGCCCAAUCCAUCAAAGAAAUCAACUGUGAAACAGACACGCAAAUCACAACUCAAGCACUUUAAGCUGACUCUACUUCA